AGCAGUAGCCGCGGGAAUACGAAGGGUGCAAGCGUUAAUCGGAAUUACUGGGCGUAAAGCGUGCGUAGGUGGUGAGUUAAGUCUGCUGUGAAAUCCCCGGGCUCAACCUGGGAAUGGCAGUGGAUACUGGCUCGCUAGAGUGUGUCAGAGGAUGGUGGAAUUCCCGGUGUAGCGGUGAAAUGCGUAGAUAUCGGAAGGAACCCCUGUGGCGAAAGCGGCUCACUGGACCACUUCUGACGCUGAUGCACGAAAGCUAGGGGAGCAAACAGGAUUAGAUACCCGGGUAGUCCCUGUCUCUUAUAA
rnacentral:rRNA from 1 species